CUUCGGGUCGUAAAGCUCUGUUGUUAAGGAAGAACAAGUACGAGAGUAACUGCUCGUACCUUGACGGUACUUAACGAGAAAGCCACGGCUAACUACGUGCCAGCAGCCGCGGUAAUACGUAGGUGGCGAGCGUUAUCCGGAAUUAUUGGGCGUAAAGCGCGCGCAGGCGGUUUCUUAAGUCUGAUGUGAAAGCCCACGGCUCAACCGUGGAGGGUCAUUGGAAACUGGGAAACUUGAGUGCAGAAGAGGAAAGCGGAAUUCCACGUGUAGCGGUGAAAUGCGUAGAGAUGUGGAGGAACACCAGUGGCGAAGGCGGCUUUCUGGUCUGUAACUGACGCUGAGGCGCGAAAGCGUGGGGAGCAAACAGGAUUAGAUACCCUGGUAGUCCACGCCGUAAACGAUGAGUGCUAAGUGUUAGAGGGUUUCCGCCCUUUAGUGCUGAAGUUAACGCAUUAAGCACUCCGCCUGGGGAGUACGGUCGCAAGACUGAAACUCAAAGGAAUUGACGGGGGCCCGCACAAGCGGUGGGGCAUGUGGUUUAAUUCGAAGCAACGCGAAGAACCUUACCAGGUCUUGACAUCCUCUGACAACCCUAGAGAUAGGGCUUUCCCUUCGGGGACAGAGUGACAGGUGGUGCAUGGUUGUCGUCAGCUCGUGCCGUGAGAUGUUGGGUUAAGUCCCGCAACGAGCGCAACCCUUGA
rnacentral:rRNA from 1 species